AUUUUGUAAAAAGAGAGAGCCUUAAUUCUCUUCCUCUCAAUUGUAUUGUCUUGGGUUCACUCUUUCUUUAACCUCCUUUAUUUUAUCAAAGUCUCCAAUUUUAAAUACGUUCUGCAUAUUAUCCAACAGCCUCUGUAGAUGACAACGAUACAAUCUUUUGCUUCUUUGUUGACCCAGAUGUGACUUUUGUUCCCAAACAAAACACAUAGCCACAAGUGCUUUUUCUAUCAACAAUAGAACCUGCCCAAUCACCAUUUGUGUAACCUUUCAGUUUACUUUGUUCUUCUUUCUUGUAUAAGAUGCCAAAAUUCUUUGUUCAUUUUAUAUAUCUUAGAAUCCUUUUAGCUGCUGCAAAAUGCUCCUUGCUUGGGCUGUCCAUGAAUCUGGAAACAACACUGACAGAGAAAACAAUAUUUGGCCUUGUUUUUGUCCAAUAAAUAAGUAAUCCAACAAGGCUCCUAUAAAUUGAUUCAUCAAAUUUUAUUUUUCCAUCAUAUCUAGAUAUAUUUUCACUUGGGCUCAUGGGAGUUUGUGCAACAUUGCAUUUAGGCAAAUUAAACCUUUUCAACAAAUCAUCUGUAUAUUUCUCCUGGGACAAAAAAUUUCUUCCUGGCUGUUCCUUUACUUGAACGCCCAAAUUAUACCUCAUAAGAUCAAGAUCAAUCAUCUCAAAUUCCUUCAUCAUAGCUUUUUUGAAAUCUUGAAUCAUUUGAUUACUGGUUCCCAUAUGAAUUAAAUCAUCAACAUAAAGGCAUACAAUGAGAAAAUUAUGUGUACCUUGCAUUUUCACAUAAAGUGAUGGCUCAUUUGGACUUUUCGAAAACCAUGUUGCUGAAAAUAUUGAUCAAUUCUACUAUUCCAUACAUGAGGUGCUUGCUUCAGUCCCCAUAUAAAGCCUUCUAAAUAUGGUGCAGAAGUUUCGGAGGCUGUUGCGAGCACCCUUUGGCCACAAGCCUUGCCUUAUGUUUUUGAAUUGAACCAUCCUUAUUGAAUUUUGUUUUAUCCAUUCUUCAUCCAUUGCUUUUUUCCAAGCUUGAUCUUUCAUAAGCUUCUUCAUACUUCUGUGCCUCAUGGGAAAUGUAAGCAACAUCACAAUUUUGAUAAAUUUUUCUAUUGAGUGUACCUUCCUUGGUGGUGUUGAUGAAUGUGUGCCCGGAUUGAUGUUUUGCUGCUGUCUUAGACUUGCCAGUGGAGUGUCUUCUUGCUGUCUUGGACUUUCUGGUGGAGUGCUAAAUGUAUUUUCCUCAAUCCUUGUUGAUGUUCCAGAUGCUUUAAAUAAGGGGUUUUUGGUAGCUCCUCAUGGUUCUGUUUUCAAGCUCCGUUUUCAUAAAAAAUGACAUCUUUUGAGAUUACUAGUUCCCUUGAAUUAGGAUUAUAUAAAUGAUAUCCCUUGGACUCUUCAGUGUACCCAAUGACGAUGCAUUUCUCACCUUUCUCAUCAAUUUUUUUCCUAUUAUGUAAAGGUAUAUAGUAGUAACAAACACAACCAAAAACUUUUCAAUGGUCAACUAGUGGCUUUCUCUUGAA